UUGCCUCAGUAACGGCGAGUGAAGCGGCAAUAGCUCAAAUUUGAAAUCUGGCUCUUUCAGAGUCCGAAUUGUAAUUUGUAGAGGAUGCUUCGGCUUACGUUUCGGUCUAAGUUCCUUGGAACAGGACGUCACAGAGGGUGAGAAUCCCGUUUGUGGCCGAGACUUCCGCCAUGUGAAGCUCCUUCGACGAGUCGAGUUGUUUGGGAAUGCAGCUCUAAAUGGGAGGUAUAUUUCUUCUAAAGCUAAAUACCGGCCAGAGACCGAUAGCGCACAAGUAGAGUGAUCGAAAGAUGAAAAGCACUUUGGAAAGAGAGUUAAAAAGUACGUGAAAUUGUUGAAAGGGAAGCGCUUGCGACCAGACUUGCCCGCGGAUGCUCAACCGGUCCUUCGGCCGGUGCACUCUUCCGCGGUCAGGCCAGCAUCAGUUCGAGCGGUCGGAUAAAGGCCUUGGGAAUGUGGCUCUCUUCGGGGAGUGUUAUAGCCCUUGGUGUAAUACGGCCCGCCUGGACUGAGGCCCGCGCUUCGGCUAGGAUGCUGGCGUAAUGGUCGUAAGCGGCCCGUCUUGAAACACGGACCAAGGAGUCUAACAUCUAUGCGAGUGUUUGGGUGUCAAACCCGUGCGCGAAAUGAAAGUGAACGGAGGUGGGAACCUUAGGGUGCACCAUCGACCGAUCCUGAUGUCUUCGGAUGGAUUUGAGUAAGAGCAUAGCUGUUGGGACCCGAAAGAUGGUGAACUAUGCCUGAAUAGGGUGAAGCCAGAGGAAACUCUGGUGGAGGCUCGCAGCGGUUCUGACGUGCAAAUCGAUCGUCAAAUUUGGGUAUAGGGGCGAAAGACUAAUCGAACCAUCUAGUA
rnacentral:rRNA from 2 species